rnacentral:rRNA from 1 species
CAACCUGCCUAUAACUAGGGAAUAACCUUGCGAAAGUAAGACUAAUACCCUAUGAUUUCCUUUGAUGACAUCAGAUUAGGAAUAAAGAUUUAUCAGUUAUAGAUGGGGAUGCGUCUGAUUAGCUUGUUGGCGGGGUAACGGCCCACCAAGGCAACGAUCAGUAGGGGUUCUGAGAGGAAGGUCCCCCACAUUGGAACUGAGACACGGUCCAAACUCCUACGGGAGGCAGCAGUGAGGAAUAUUGGUCAAUGGGCGGAAGCCUGAACCAGCCAAGUAGCGUGCAGGAUGACGGCCCUAUGGGUUGUAAACAGCUUUUAUACAGGAAUAAAGUUAGCCACGUGUGGUUAUUUGUAGGUACUGUAUGAAUAAGGACCGGCUAAUUCCGUGCCAGCAGCCGCGGUAAUACGGAAGGUCCAGGCGUUAUCCGGAUUUAUUGGGUUUAAAGGGAGCGUAGGCCGUCUGUUAAGCGUGUUGUGAAAUGUAGAUGCUCAACAUCUGAAUUGCAGCGCGAACUGGCAGACUUGAGUGUGCGCAACGUAGGCGGAAUUCGUGGUGUAGCGGUGAAAUGCUUAGAUAUCACGAAGAACUCCGAUUG